rnacentral:rRNA from 1 species
GACGAACGCUGGCGGCACGCUUAAAACAUGCAAGUCGAACGUGAAGCCCGGGCUUGCCCGGGUGGAAAGUGGCGAACGGGUGCGUAACACGUGAGCAACCUGCCCCGAAGACCGGGAUAACACCGGGAAACCGGUGCUAAUACCGGAUGUCUUCACCAUGUCGCAUGGCGAGGUGAAGAAAUGAAUUCCGCUUCGGGAUGGGCUCGCGGCCUAUCAGCUUGUUGGUGGGGUAACGGCCUACCAAGGCAACGACGGGUAGCUGGUCUGAGAGGAUGUCCAGCCACACGGGGACUGAGACACGGCCCAGACUCCUACGGGAGGCAGCAGUUAGGAAUCUUGCGCAAUGGGCGAAAGCCUGACGCAGCGAUGCCGCGUGCGGGAUGAAGGCCCUCGGGUCGUAAACCGCUUUCAGCAGGGACGAUUGUGACGGUACCUGCAGAAGAAGCCCCGGCCAACUACGUGCCAGCAGCCGCCGUAAAAC